AGAGUUUGAUCAUGGCUCAGAACGAACGCUGGCGGCAUGCCUAACACAUGCAAGUCGAACGGGAUCCAGACUUCGGUCUGGUGAGAGUGGCGGACGGGUGAGUAACGCGUGGGAACCUGCCCAAUGGUCUGGGAUAACCGCGGGAAACUGCGGCUAAUACCGGAUAAGCCCGAGAGGGGAAAGAUUUAUCGCCGAUGGAGGGGCCCGCGUCCGAUUAGGUAGUUGGUGAGGUAACGGCUCACCAAGCCUACGAUCGGUAGCUGGUCUGAGAGGAUGAUCAGCCACACUGGGACUGAGAUACGGCCCAGACUCCUACGGGAGGCAGCAGUGGGGAAUAUUGGACAAUGGGGGCAACCCUGAUCCAGCAAUGCCGCGUGAGUGAUGAAGGCCUUAGGGUUGUAAAGCUCUUUUACCGGGGACGAUGAUGACGGUACCCGGAGAAUAAGCCCCGGCUAACUUCGUGCCAGCAGCCGCGGUAAUACGAAGGGGGCGAGCGUUGUUCGGAAUUACUGGGCGUAAAGGGCGCGUAGGCGGCGAUCCGAGUCAGAUGUGAAAGUCCUGGGCUUAACCUGGGGACUGCAUUUGAUACUGGAUUGCUUGAAUUCGGGAGAGGAUAGCGGAAUUCCCAGUGUAGAGGUGAAAUUCGUAGAUAUUGGGAAGAACACCGGUGGCGAAGGCGGCUAUCUGGACCGACAUUGACGCUGAGGCGCGAAAGCGUGGGGAGCAAACAGGAUUAGAUACCCUAGUAGUCC
rnacentral:rRNA from 1 species